rnacentral:misc_RNA from 1 species
AAAAAACAACAUAGUAAAGACAAUUAGUGACCAAAUACAUAUGCAAAAAGAAUUGCCAAUACAGUUACUCCCAAUAAUCAAUAUGAAAUACAGAAACAUAAUACAUAGGAUGCUAUAAGUAGCUAAAUUGAUCACAUUUGGCAAGUUCCAAAGUCACUACAUCAAUAGAAUAUCUUGUCAAUUUAUUAUUCUCAUCCAGCUCAGUUUCAACUAUCUGGAGUUAGUUACAUGUAGCUGUGUGACAAGCUACAGGAUCAAUUCUCAUCAACAUCAACAUAAAAUAUCCUGCUAUAAAUGCAUUUACAAAACAAAAUAAUAACUUCCAUAUGUUGGA